rnacentral:rRNA from 1 species
UACAGAGGUCCCAAGCGUUGUUCGGAUUCAUUGGGCGUAAAGGGCGCGUAGGCGGGCUGUCAAGUCUGGGGUGAAAUCCCGCGGCUCAACCGUGGAACUGCCUUAGAUACUGACGGCCUCGAGGAAGGUAGGGGCAUGCGGAACUGUAGGUGGAGCGGUGAAAUGCGUUGAUAUCUACAGGAACGCCGGUGGCGAAAGCGGCGUGCUGGACCUUUUCUGACGCUGAGGCGCGAAAGCUAGGGGAGCAAACGGG